rnacentral:rRNA from 1 species
CUACGGGGGGCUCCAGUGGGGAAUAUUGCACAAUGGGGGAAACCCUGAUGCAGCAACGCCGCGUGGAGGAUGACACAUUUCGGUGCGUAAACUCCUUUUAUAUGAGAAGAUAAUGACGGUAUCAUAUGAAUAAGCUCCGGCUAACUCCGUGCCAGCAGCCGCGGUAAUACGGGGGGAGCAAGCGUUACUCGGAAUUACUGGGCGUAAAGCGCAUGUAGGCGGAUAGAAAAGUCAGAAGUGAAAUCCUAUAGCUUAACUAUAGAACUGCUUCUGAAACUCUCUAUCUAGAAUGUGGGAGAGGUAGAUGGAAUUUCUGGUGUAGGGGUAAAAUCCGUAGAGAUCAGAAGGAAUACCGAUUGCGAAGGCGAUCUACUGGAACAAUAUUGACGCUGAGAUGCGAAAGCGUGGGGAGCAAACAGGAUUAGAUACCCUCGUAGUC